rnacentral:tRNA from 1 species
GGACUCGUGCCUGAAACAAAGGGCUACUUUGAUAGAGUAGACAAUGAAGGUUAAAAUCCCUCCGACUCCU